rnacentral:rRNA from 1 species
AGAGUUUGAUCCUGGCUCAGGACGAACGCUGGCGGCGUGCCUAAUGCAUGCAAGUCGCACGCACGUGUCUUCGGACACGUGAGUGGCGCACGGCUGAGUAGCACGUGGGAACGUACCCAACUGUGGGGGACAACACCGCGAAAGUGGUGCUAAUCCCGCAUACGGUCUUUGGACCAAAGCCUUAUCGGCGCAGUUGGCGCGGCCCGCGGCCCAUCAGGUCGUUGGUGAGGUAACGGCUCACCAAGCCGCUGACGGGUAGCUGGUCUGUGAGGACAGACAGCCAGACUGGGACUGAGACACGGCCCAGACUCCUACGGGAGGCAGCAGCAAGGAAUUUUCGUCAAUGGGGGCAACCCUGAACGAGCAACGCCGCGUGCGGGAUGACGGCCUUCGGGUUGUAAACCGCUUUUGGGGGGGAAGAGACUGACGGUACCCCUUGAAUAAGGCUCGGCUAACUCUGUGCCAGCCGCCGCGGUAAUUC